GUGGAGAUACAUACCACCCUGAACGCGCCCGAUCUCGUCUGAUCUCGGAAGCUAAGCAGGGUCGGGCCUGGUUAGUACUUGGAUGGGAGAUACAUAUGUAUAUCUCCACC
rnacentral:rRNA from 1 species